UUUAACGUAUAAAUGAAAAAAAGCAAGAGAGGUAAAAAAAUAAUUACGAAUUAAAAAUUGAAAUACAAAAAUGCUAUAACUAAAGGAAGUAAAUAAUUGUUAAAGUAAGAAAAAUAUUUUAUGCUGCUUUGACUUUGACAAAGGUCACAACGUUUAUCAUCAUUUUUUAUGUAUUCCACAUGCGAAAUGAUAAAUUUUUAAAACUUUGACAUUGAAGAAGAUCAUAAAUGUUUAUGACAAUUUUUUUUAUUCUACAAAAUAAUUUUUUUUCAAAUAAAAUGUAAAUAAAAAGCUGCAAAAAUAUCGUGGAUCGAAACUUUAGAAAAAAAAAAUGUAAUGUCCUCGUGAAUGUGGACAAUUUUUAGAUGUUAUUUAUUGUACUUUUUUGCACUCGUUUUGUUAUAAAAACCGUGAACUGCGACAAAAUUAUAUGCAAUAUAAGAAAGUGUCAAAGAGUAAAGAAACGUUUGCAUUAGUACAACAUUUUAAAAAAUUAAACUUUAAUAACUGCAAUUUACACGUGUAAUAUAACAACAAAUAGAGUUAAAAUACCAACAAUGCUGAAAAUUUACUUCCUGUUAUUUAUUGCAACAUUUUUGUUAUUUGCUAAUGAGUGUCAUGCUGAAUGUUGUCCUUCAUAUGAACCUGCUACUUGUCAUUCUCCAGUUUGUCCUAAAAUUUGUGCAGAUGGAAAUGAAUUACAUGGAAUUGAAUUUUAUUGUGGUGUAGGACAAUGUAAUAUGUUUGGAUGUAACUGUGACGGUGGCUGUAAAAGAAGUAGAUGGGGAUAAAAUGUUUUUGCUGAUUAAGAUUAAUCGAAUGUAUAAUAUCGUUAUUGUCAAUUUAUAAAUUUUUAUCUCCAAAUAAUACAGAAUUGCUUUAAAAACAA